AUGCAAGUCGAACGGCAGCACGGGAGCAAUCCUGGUGGCGAGUGGCGAACGGGUGAGUAAUAUAUCGGAACGUGCCCAGUCGUGGGGGAUAACGUAGCGAAAGCUACGCUAAUACCGCAUACGAUCUACGGAUGAAAGCGGGGGACUCGCAAGAGCCUCGCGCGAUUGGAGCGGCCGAUAUCAGAUUAGGUUGUUGGUGAGGUAAAAGCUCACCAAGCCUGCGAUCUGUAGCUGGUCUGAGAGGACGACCAGCCACACUGGAACUGAGACACGGUCCAGACUCCUACGGGAGGCAGCAGUGGGGAAUUUUGGACAAUGGACGCAAGUCUGAUCCAGCAAUGCCGCGUGCAGGACGAAGGCCUUCGGGUUGUAAACUGCUUUUGUACGGAACGAAACGGUCUGCUUUAAUACAGUGGGCUAAUGACGGUACCGUAAGAAUAAGCACCGGCUAACUACGUGCCAGCAGCCGCGGUAAUACGUAGGGUGCGAGCGUUAAUCGGAAUUACUGGGCGUAAAGCGUGCGCAGGCGGUUAUAUAAGACAGAUGUGAAAUCCCCGGGCUCAACCUGGGACCUGCAUUUGUGACUGUAUAGCUAGAGUACGGUAGAGGGGGAUGGAAUUCCGCGUGUAGCAGUGAAAUGCGUAGAUAUGCGGAGGAACACCGAUGGCGAAGGCAAUCCCCUGGACCUGUACUGACGCUCAUGCACGAAAGCGUGGGGAGGCCAAACAGGGAUUAAGAUACCCUGGUAGUCCACGCCCUAAACGAUGUCAACUGGUUGUUGGGUCUUCACUGACUCAGUAACGAAGCUAACGCGUGAAGUUGACCGCCUGGGGAGUACGGCGCAAGGGUUGAAACUCAAAGGAAUUGACGGGGACCCGCCCCAG
rnacentral:rRNA from 1 species